GACGAACGCUGGCGGCGUGCUUAACACAUGCAAGUCGAGCGGAGCGGCGAACGGGUGAGUAACACGUUGGUGACCUGCCCUCCACUCUGGGAUAAGCCCGGGAAACUGGGUCUAAUACCGGAUAGUGGGGGUGGGGCCCGCGGCUAACCAUCUUGUGGGUGGGGGGAUGGCCUACCAAGGCGGUGACGGGUAGCCGGCCUGAGAGGGCGACCGGCCACACUGGGACUGAGACACGGGCCAGACUCCUACGGGAGGCAGCAGUGGGGAAUAGUGCGCAAUGGGCGGAAGCCGGAAGCAGCGACGCCGCGUGGGGGAUGACGGCCUUCGGGUUGUAAGCCUCUUUCGCCAGGGACGCGGUACCUGGAGAAGAAGCCACGGCUAACUACGUGCCAGCAGCCGCGGUAAUUC
rnacentral:rRNA from 1 species